AGCUGAGCUGCCCGCAAUGUCAUCUCUGCACGGUUACAGCACUUCUGUGGAGAGGCCUCUUCUGAUGGAGAUGGAAUCUGUGCGACCCCAAAUGAGCUCUAUCAAGCGUGCCGUUCAGUGGGAUUCAGCAGCACACAGUGAAAUCUUCAGAAGGGCCAUUUUCUGGGCACAGAACUCUAACCUGGUGUACUAUCUCCUGGAAGACACUGGGCCUAAGCCAGAUGUGGUGGUCUAUGCCCAGAAUCCCAGGAUUUACAAGGCUGGGAUUGAACUCAUAGAGAUCUGCUUGCUUCUGCCUCCCCAUUGUGCUGCGAUCAAAGGUGUGUGCUAUAACACCCAACUUCUUCUUUUUUUAUAAAUGUAAACAAAACCACAUCAUGUACAUGUAUGAAAAUGUUAUGGAGCUGGAGCAGUGACUCGGUGGGUUAGAACACUUUUGCAGAGGACUCAGAUUCAGUGUCCAGCACCCACAAGAUGACUAACAGACAUCCUUAAUGCCAGCUCCAGCGCUCUUCCAGGCACCAGGCACACAUGUGGUGCACAUACACAUAAAAAUAAGUAUUAUUUUAAAAGGAAAAUGCUGUAAUGAAACCCAUUAUUUUUGUUUGUUUGUUUGUUGUUGUUGCUGUUGUUGGAGACAAUGUCUCACUAUGCAGUCCUGGCUGUCCUGGAGCUCCCUGUGUUGACCAGACCCACCUCCAACUUUCAGAGAUCCACCUGCCUUUGCUUUCUGAGUGCUGGGAUUAGAGGCAUGCACCACCACAUCUGCCUGAAACCCGGUACUGUGUGUAAUUAAUGUAUACUAAUAAAACAUUAAAUGAAAAACA